GUGGGGAAUUUUGGACAAUGGGCGCAAGCCUGAUCCAGCAAUGCCGCGUGCAGGAAGAAGGCCUUCGGGUUGUAAACUGCUUUUGUACGGAACGAAACGGUCCUGGUUAAUACCUGGGGCUAAUGACGGUACCGUAAGAAUAAGCACCGGCUAACUACGUGCCAGCAGCCGCGGUAAUACGUAGGGUGCGAGCGUUAAUCGGAAUUACUGGGCGUAAAGCGUGCGCAGUCGGUUUUGUAAGACAGGCGUGAAAUCCCCGGGCUCAACCUGGGAAUUGCGCUUGUGACUGCAAGGCUGGAGUGCGGCAGAGGGGGAUGGAAUUCCGCGUGUAGCAGUGAAAUGCGUAGAUAUGCGGAGGAACACCGAUGGCGAAGGCAAUCCCCUGGGCCUGCACUGACGCUCAUGCACGAAAGCGUGGGGAGCAAACAGGAUUAGAUACCCUAGUAGUCC
rnacentral:rRNA from 1 species